AUGAACGCUGGCGGCGUGCUUAACCCCUGCAAGUCGCACGAUGAAGCCCAGCUUGCUGGGUGGAUUAGUGGCGAACGGGUGAGUAACACGUGAGUAACCUGCCCUUAACUCUGGGAUAGGCCUGGGAAACUGGGUCUAAUACCGGAUAGGAGCGCCUACCGCAUGGUGGGUGUUGGAAAGAUUUAUCGGUUUUGGAUGGACUCGCGGCCUAUCAGCUUGUUGGUGAGGUAAUGGCUCACCAAGGCGACGACGGGUAGCCGGCCUGAGAGGGUGACCGGCCACACUGGGACUGAGACACGGCCCAGACUCCUACGGGAGGCAGCAGUGGGGAAUAUUGCACAAUGGGCGAAAGCCUGAUGCAGCGACGCCGCGUGAGGGAUGACGGCCUUCGGGUUGUAAACCUCUUUCAGUAGGGAAGAAGCGAAAGUGACGGUACCUGCAGAAGAAGCACCGGCUAACUACGUG
rnacentral:rRNA from 1 species